CAGGACAGGACACCUGGUGAGUCAGAGACAGGGAGCUGCAAGAAGCAGGAGCAGCUGGAAAUUCCUCUGAGAGAUGAUGGACAGCAAGAGAUCAGAGCCCAGAACCGUGAGGUUCAAACCUGUGAGAUGUCCCAGUGGUGGAACUGGAAAUAGAAAACGCAUAAAGCUAGGGUGGCCACCAGCUGCAGAGACUGGGGGCCAUUGCCAUGUGACCAGCGGUGCCAAAGGUUGGAAUACUAAGCGAGUGGCCGUUCCGUUCACAUUUGGAAUGCAGGCCACCUUCUGGAGGCCCCAGAAGCAGAAAACGGGGAACAGCCCAAGGGCAUCAGAAAUAGGGUGGAAAAGGGAAGACUCCUCCCACCCAGUGGCGUAGCCAAGUUCUACCAGCAGGGGGAGCAAAUCAAAAAAAGGCGCCGAAGACUGAAGGACUUGCCGCCGAAGACCCGGAGCAGCUGAAGGACCCGCUGCCAAAUUGCUGCCGAAGACCCGGAGCAGCUGGGGAACUGAAGGGUUUGUGGAGUGACACUGACUUUCAUUGGGCUCAGUACAGAAUGCAGCUUUGUUCUUUGGUGAAAAUUUGAGAACUUUUACACUCCUGAAACAUCGGCCCCAAAGUCUAGUGGAAGAGGAGAUGGUAUGCAACAUAGACCCAGGCUAAAAAAAUCUCUCUGUGCUUCUCUGACCCCAUCUCUACACACACAGAGACACUUUCCUCCUUGUGCUACAGAUCCUUUUGAUGGUUUUUGUUUUAAUUUUUGUUUCCCAUGAGAAGUGAAGUUUGGAAGGACAACAUCACCGAGCUGUCAUUUAAACCGGACUGCGGCCCCAGACAGUCAUCAAAAGGCAUGUAAGCCUAAUAUACCAUCUCACUGUACACAUUGUUCAUUGCAUUUCCUCGCCACAUGAUGUUUAAUUUCUAUCAUCAUAUCCUCAGGCCUUCUUUCUGUUGUAUCUAAAGUGCUAUGCACAGCUAUAGUGCUGCAUAGCUAAAUAAGAAUGGUAAAUAAAUGAAUCCCAGUAGCAUA